rnacentral:lncRNA from 1 species
CUGCCUCCAUCUUGGAUAAUUUUUUUUUCAAGAAGACAGCAUAAUGGCUCACAAUCGCAUUGUGAUCUUUGGGAAGAUAGAAGUAGUAUCCCAUGAUUUCUUUGGGAUAUCUUAUAAAGUGAGCCCUAAAGGACCUAGCCUCUAACUUGUCUGCCUGCUGUCGCUUGACGUUAGCUGGAUAUCUCCAAAUCUUGAGGUAUCCAAGAAAUGGCUUCUUACCAUGCCAUAAC